GCGGGCUUGGAAUUAAGAUGCUGUGGGCCCGCAUCAGGCGCGUUCCAGCUUGCGAUCACGGGGAUCUCUACACGCAAGCAAGUAUAGCCAUCAGCACUUAAAGUAGGCCGCCGGGGACACUCACCUUAGCCCGCGCGCUCCGAAUUUUAUGUAGUGUUGAUGUCGCACGCUUUAGAGGGGUGGGCUGUGUUGAACGGCUCAGAAAGUGCGAACGCCGC
rnacentral:ncRNA from 1 species